rnacentral:rRNA from 1 species
UAACGGUGGAAUGUGUAGAUAUCGGGAAGAACACCAAUGGCGAAGGCAGGUCUCUGGGCCGUUACUGACGCUGAGGAGCGAAAGCGUGGGGAGCGAACAGGAUUAGAUACCCUGGUAGUCCACGCCGUAAACGGUGGAUGCUGGAUGUGGGGCCCGUUCCACGGGUUCCGUGUCGGAGCUAACGCGUUAAGCAUCCCGCCUGGGGAGUACGGCCGCAAGGCUAAAACUCAAAGAAAUUGACGGGGGCCCGCACAAGCGGCGGAGCAUGCGGAUUAAUUCGAUGCAACGCGAAGAACCUUACCUGGGCUUGACAUGUUCCCGACGGUCGUAGAGAUACGGCUUCCCUUCGGGGCGGGUUCACAGGUGGUGCAUGGUCGUCGUCAGCUCGUGUCGUGAGAUGUUGGGUUAAGUCCCGCAACGAGCGCAACCCUCGCCCCGUGUUGCCAGCGGAUUAUGCCGGGAACUCACGGGGGACCGCCGGGGUUAACUCGGAGGAAGGUGGGGAUGACGUCAGAUCAUCAUGCCCCUUACGUCCAGGGCUUCACGCAUGCUACAAUGGCCGGUACAACGGGAUGCGACGCGGCGACGCGGAGCGGAUCCCUGAAAACCGGUCUCAGUUCGGAUCGCAGUCUGCAACUCGACUGCGUGAAGG